rnacentral:rRNA from 1 species
GACGAACGCUGGCGGCGUGCUUAACACAUGCAAGUCGAACGGAAAGGCCCUGCUUUUGUUGGUUGCUCGAGUGGCGAACGGGUGAGUAACACGUGAGUAACCUGCCCUUGACUUUGGGAUAACUUCAGGAAACUGGGGCUAAUACCGGAUAGGAUCUCCUGCUGCAUGUUGGGGGUUGGAAAGUUUCGGCGGUUGGGGAUGGACUCGCGGCUUAUCAGCUUGUUGGUGGGGUAGUGGCUUACCAAGGCUUUGAAGGGUAGCCUGCCUGAGAGGGUGACCGGACACAUUGGGACUGAGAUACGGCCCAGACGCCUACGGGAGGCAGCAGUGGGGAAUAUUGCACAAUGGGCGGAAGCCUGAUGCAGCAACGCCGCGUGCGGGAUGACGGCCUUCGGGUUGUAAACCGCUUUCGCCUGUGACGAAGCGUGAGUGACGGUAAUGGGUAAAGAAGCACCGGCUAACUACGUG